rnacentral:rRNA from 1 species
UGGGGAAUAUUGCACAAUGGGCGCAAGCCUGAUGCAGCAACGCCGCGUGAACGAUGAAGGUCUUCGGAUCGUAAAGUUCUGUUGCAGGGGAAGAUAAUGACGGUACCCUGUGAGGAAGCCCCGGCUAACUACGUGCCAGCAGCCGCGGUAAUACGUAGGGGGCUAGCGUUAUCCGGAUUUACUGGGCGUAAAGGGUGCGUAGGUGGUCUUUCAAGUCGGUGGUUAAAGGCUACGGCUCAACCGUAGUUAGCCUCCGAAACUGGAAGACUUGAGUGCAGGAGAGGAAAGUGGAAUUCCCAGUGUAGCGGUGAAAUGCGUAGAUAUUGGGAGGAACACCAGUAGCGAAGGCGGCUUUCUGGACUGCAACUGACACUGAGGCACGAAAGCGUGGGCAGCAAACAGG